AUUUUGAUUUAAUCCUCUCCCAGUUUCACUCCCCAUCACAAUCAUCGAUCGCGAAAUUUUCACGACAGGGAAUUGAAAUUGAACGAUUCCUUCUCAUUUCCAUGAUUUCUCAGAAGAAAAUGCCGACCCUCUCCAGGUUCUGGAAUGGAAUUUUGUCAGAAUUCAUGGAAUCAUUUGGCUGCCUCAGUUAGAUAGACUAGAUUGUUGAUGGCGUUGGAAUCAAUUGGGAUAAUGAAAAAUUUGGAGUUAAAAACAGUCGAUUUCUUCUGUUAUGGCAUUAUCUUAGAGAUGAACCUUAUCUUGUCACCUGUGAUAUACAUGUGGGAUCGAAACCCAUUUGAGUUUUUUCUUUCUUUUUCACUUUCAUUGUCUCUCAUAAGUCAUUUCAACUUGUAAAAGCACUCUCAGGGAUUGCCAUUGGCUGUGUGGGGAAGAAGAGAACCUGGGUCAGAUAAUAUAAUGAACAUAAUUGUGCUUGUGAGUUUGCAUUAUCCAUUAAAGAACACGUGGCACAACAAGAUAUGUCCAAUUGGGAUCACAUGUGGACCCACCUGGCACUUAUCCUCCUAUGUUCUCACAGGAAAGCAUGGAUGAUAUUAUUAUUUUGUAUGCAGAGACCAGAAAGUGAAUGAGGAAAUUUCCAAAUGAAAAAUUCCCAAAUAAGAUCUUUGUUAAACUAAUUGGAAAGAGGCGGCUUCUCUUUCUUUUCUUUUCCCCAAGGAUGAUGGCACAUGGGUGACAAAGCAGCAGCCAUCGCCUUCUUCUUAUAAAUAGGUGUGGUGGAAAAGGAGAGUAAUUUUGUUAGGUAAGAAGGAAAGAUUAAGAGAAAAUGGAGGGAAAGUCUAAAGGGUAUCAAGCCUCCUCUUUCGUUGCUGAUCUUUUCGAUGUCAAGGAGCCGCCAUCAACUUCUUCAUCAGAAGUCUUUGCAGCAAUCUUUCCUUCUCCACAGAAGGGGGGAGGCAGGAAUUCUUCUAGCUCUGGGGAUUGGCUAAAACAGGCCAAUGGAAAUCAACCAUCCCACGCCAGACAAGGAAAUUCAGAUCUGAUAAUUUCAAGGAGGGAGCUUGGAGCCUUGCCAUCUGAGUUCAUCUCUAUACUAUGGAGGACAAGAUGGUUACUCCCAGGCCCCAUCAGCUGGACCAUCCCCAUCCCCUGCCCCCACUUUGAAGAAAAGUGGGGGAGAAGAUGAUCCAAAUGGAAACAACUUCCAACCUGCUUCUAGGGGAAAUUGGUGGCAAGGUUCUCUUUAUUAUUAGGACGACUGCCUUUCCUUGGUGGCGCAUGAAUUCCCUCCUAUUUUCCAAGGAAUUCAUAACGAAGCUGAGCAGUGGAGCUUUGAAGUUGGAUUUACAUUACAUUGUGUAUACCAUUUCAAAUUAAUUUCUUGUUUGUUUUUUCUUUUACUUUGAAAAAUGGUGUGAAGUUUUCUGUAUUUUCUUUCCUUUAAUUCCUCUUUUAUUAAAACUGUGCCUUCAUUUUCAGUUCAAUAAUUAUAAGACGAUAGAUUAAAGACUUUUAGUGUUA